GACGAACGCUGGCGGCGUGCUUAACACAUGCAAGUCGAGCGGUAAGGCCCUUUCGGGGGUACACGAGCGGCGAACGGGUGAGUAACACGUGGGUGACCUGCCUUUAGCUCUGGGAUAAGCCUGGGAAACCGGGUCUAAUACCGGAUACGACUCCGCGGUGCAUGCUGUGGGGUGGAAAGCCUUGUGCGGCUGGAGAUGGGCCCGCGGCCUAUCAGCUUGUUGGUGGGGUGAUGGCCUACCAAGGCGACGACGGGUAGCCGGCCUGAGAGGGCGACCGGCCACACUGGGACUGAGACACGGCCCAGACUCCUACGGGAGGCAGCAGUGGGGAAUCUUGCGCAAUGGGCGAAAGCCUGACGUAGCGACGCCGCGUGA
rnacentral:rRNA from 1 species